rnacentral:snoRNA from 1 species
AAUUAGAACCUAGAGUUUAAGCUUGCUACUGCAAGAAAGUCUAAACUAUUCUAACACUCUCUCCUCUGUGAGAUGGGCUAUUACACAAACUUAAACAAU